CAGGCGCACAAAGGAGGGCGCGGGGUUGGGGGCGUGGAGGCCGCUGGGUCAGGUGACUUAGGGGGCGGCUGAGGCGCUGCGGUGGCGGGCAGGACUAGCGUGGAGGCUCCACGGCGCGGACGCUGCUGCGCCGACAGGGAAGAGUAGGCGUCGGCGGCGGCCGUGGCGGCCUUGGCGGGCUGCAGAGAUGAAGACGUGGCGGCCCCUCGGGCGGCUGGAGCGGCAGCACUCGGAGGGGAGCACAGGGCGGCGGCGCUGCGGCAGCGGGCAGGACCGCCCUGGACGCUCCCCGGCGCGCACCGGCAGGAGGCGGCGCACCGUGAGUUGCUGUCAAGACAGUCAUUUAAGAAGGCUGAAGAAAAAUUGGAAAAGUUUGAACUAGAAGAGAAGGAAAGAGGGUAUAGUUUGAAGUGGAGACAAGGUCGACAGAAGAUGGUCCCUGGCCAGGUGAAAACCUCCUCAGAACUUUUUAGUAAGUCUGAGAAAGAAGACACUGAGAUUCCUAAUAGCCAUGGAAGAG